GGUGUUAAGCCCCACUGUGACCCUUUUCCACAAAGCUCAUCACUCACAGUCUGUUUCCAAGUGUUUUUUCCCCCUGUCCUUUGUUCAUGUUUAAACUGAGAGAAAAGUGGACUAAGUCUGCUGUCUUGAUACCAUGCUGCUUGCAAAUGAGCAUUGACGUAUUCUCUUUGGUUAGAAUUUUUGGACAAGUAGCUGAACAGGGAGUCUUAACUGAGUCACUCUGAAAGGAACACUAAGGAUGGCUUUAAUUAUUAAAAAAAAGUGUACAUUCUGGGGAAUUAUUUAAGACACUCGUUUAAAAAGUGUUUUGCAAAUGAUUGUUCAUUUCAUGCUAUCUUCCCCUUCUGGUUUUCUUGGGCCGUGGGUUAGAGAAUCCAAGCUGGUAGUAAAUUGACUUAAUGACUUCAGCCCUAUUUAGUAGAGUAGCUGAUCACAAAGAGGUUAUUCCAACAGUCUACAAAACUGACCACUUGGUAAUAUCUCAUGGGAAAAUACUUGUCAGCAUCAAUGCUACCAGUCAAAACCAAAAUGAGAACAUCUGGAGUCUGCUUCUUGGUUGUAAAGAAAUAGUAAGAGUUGGAUGUUCUUUUUUUUUUUUCCCCCUAAUUAUGCUUAUUCACCAAAAGUUGCUUGCCAGAUUGAAAGAUGAAUGUAAGUCAAGAACAGAGCAAGGAUUAACAGGAUGGUUUUUUCCAUCAAGCUAAAUCAGUUGCCAACAAGAGGAACUAUUUAACCUGGAGGAGACUGGGGUUAAUACCAAAAAAACAAAAAAGGAUAUUUUAGGAGAAAAAAAUUAUGCAGUCAUGCAUCACUUAGCAGGGAUACAUUCUGAGAAAUGCAUUGUUAGGCGAUUUUGUCAUUGUGCAAACAUCAUAAAGCAUACCAAAGGGGAACAAAAUUUGACACCCCAAAAUGUGUCUCUUUAACAUGAGAAUUACUUUAGCAUGAUUAUUUUUAAAAAACAACAGACUCAAAAAGUUUUUCUGGUUACCUCUCCCUUAACUGCCUAAAAGAAUUCAAAUUAAAAAAAAACUGUCUCAGGAAGCAAGCUAUCACCUUAGCAUGACAUGAACUAGGUACUGGGACACUGGGGGAGCGCCUAGAAAAGCCUGUUUGUUGGGCUCCCUUCUGUGUUCUUCUGUUUCUUUUUUUUAAGAUUGGCACCUGGCCUAAUAUCUAUUGACAGUCUUUUUUUCCCUUUCUCCCCAAAGCCCCCCAGUACAUAGUUGUAUAUUCUAGUUGUGAGUGCCUCUGGUUGUGCUAUGUGGGACGCUGCCUCAGUGUGGCCUGAUGAGCAGUGCCAUCUCUGGGCCCAGGAUCCGAACUGGCAAAACCCCGGGCCGCCAAAGCAGAGCGUGCAAACUUAACCACUCGGCCACAGGGCUAGCCCCCUGUUCUUCUGUUUCUGUGUGGCCAAACACUUGUUUUCCAAACAUUUGCUCCUUUUCACCUACCUGUGAGAACUGCCUUCCCCUUCCCUCUGAAGUCCCUGACUAUCCCUACCCCCCACAUCUUCUUCUGUCUUUAGCUGAGGAUGGCAUUUAAGGUGAGGGCUUUGGCCAUUUUGGCAAAUUACUCAGUUUUCCUAGGUCUCUCCCAUGUAUACAUAUUAUUAAACUUCUGUUUGUUUUUCUCCUGU
ensembl:lncRNA